rnacentral:rRNA from 1 species
GCAGUGUUAUCCGGAAUCACUGGGCGUAAAGCGUCUGUAGGUGGUUUAGUAAGUCUAUUGUUAAAUCUUGAGGCUCAACUUCAAAUCAGCAAUGGAAACUGCUAGACUCGAGUAUGGUAGAGGUAAGAGGAAUUUCCAGUGGAGCGGUGAAAUGCGUAGAUAUUGGAAAGAACACCGAUGGCGAAGGCAUCUUACUGGGCCAUUACUGACACUCAGAGACGAAAGCUAGGGUAGCAAAUGGGAUUAGAUACCCCAGUAGUCCUAGCAGUAAACGAUGGAUACUAGAUGUUGCCCGUAUCAACCCGUGCAGUGUCAAAGCUAACGCGUUAAGUAUCCCGCCUGGGAAGUAUGCUCGCAAGAGUGAAACUCAAAGGAACUGACGGGGGCCCGCACAAGCGGUGGAGCAUGUGGUUUAAUUUGAUGCAACGCGAAGAACCUUACCAGGGUUUGACAUGACAUGAAUUCUUCUGAGAAGAAGAAGUGCCUUUUAGGAACAUGUACACAGGUGGUGCAUGGCUGUCGUCAGCUCGUGUCGUGAGAUGUUGGGUUAAGUCCCGCAACGAGCGCAACCCUUGUUUAUAGUUAUUUUUCUAGAAAGACUGCCGGUUAUAAGCCGGAGGAAGGCGGGGACGACGUCAAGUCAGCAUGCCCCUUACACCCUGGGCUACACACGUGCUACAUUGGGUAAGACAAUGAGUCGCGAGCCUGUGAAGGUCAGCAAAUCCAUAAACUUACUCUAAGUUCGGAUUGUAGGCUGCAACU